rnacentral:tRNA from 1 species
GAGGAUAUAGCUCAGUAGUAGAGCACAUGCUUAGCAUGCACAAGGCCCUGGGUUCAAUCCCCAGUACCUCCA